UACGUAGGGGGCUAGCGUUGUCCGGAAUCAUUGGGCGUAAAGAGCGUGUAGGCGGUCCGGUAAGUCCGCUGUGAAAGUCGGGGGCUCAACCCUCGAAAGCCGGUUGAUACUGUCGGGCUAGAGUCCGGAAGAGGCGAGUGGAAUUCCCGGUGUAGCGGUGAAAUGCGCAGAUAUCGGGAAGAACACCCGUGGCGAAGGCGGCUUUCUGGGACGGUACUGACGCUGAGACGCGAAAGCGUGGGGAGCGAACAGG
rnacentral:rRNA from 1 species